rnacentral:lncRNA from 1 species
CAGCCCUCAGUCUUUCCAUGGGGAAAGCAUUCAGUCUCUAUGUAACAAAAAGGAAGGAAAUGGCCCUGGAAGUUUUAACUAAGGCUUGAGGUCCAGCUCAACAGCCAGUGAGUUACUUAAGCAAGGAACUUAAAACUUGGUGGCCAAAGGAUGGUCAGCCUGCCUCCAAGCAGUUACAGUGGAGGCUUUGCUGGUGUCAGAGGCCACUGGGUUAACCAUGGGAAAUAACUGUUUAACCCCACACAAUGUAACAGGACUGUUGUCCUCUAAGGAAAGUCUCUGGCUGACAAACAAUUGCCUCCUCAAAUACCAAGCUUUGCUGCUAAAGGGAUCUGCAGUCCAGCUGAAAACCUGCCCUUGCCUGAGCCCAGCCACUUUCUCCCAGAGAAAACUGGAGAACCUAAACAUGAUUGUGAACAGAAUGGCUUCCGGUGGCCUGGGACUCCUUGGGGAAACAGAAAAUGCACCACAAAUCCCAUUUUAGGAAAAAUCUGUUUUCCUCGGAGCCCCUGGAAUUAAAGAAACCAUCAAGCUUCAGAUGGUGCUGAAAAUGGAGCCGAAAAUGAAACUGCCCUCCUACGAGGGACCCUUAAAUCAACCCCAGGAGGAGCCCUAGCUGCUGUUCCCCACACAACGCCACUCUCCAGCAGGAAGUAGCCAGAAGAAAUCGUCACCCAGUUUCCCCUAGCAGCAGCGCAGUAAGAUUGAGGAGCUAAAAACAGACUUGGGUGGAUGUCUGCAGCUGCAAGAAGAUGUGUGGGAACAGACACAGAAACUCUCCCUCCCAGAUAAGCAAGACAAAGAAACACAGAAUAAGAGUCCAUCUAUGUGGUCAGAGAAUGGGAUAAGAGCUGAUUUAAAAAAACUCUGCUCUAUAUAGAAGGCACACCUGGUCCCAACCAAACCACUGGACCCUAGGAGGAUAAGACCUCCUCUGCUCAUGAGCCCCCUCCUCAGUAGCCCAUUUAUAAAAACCCUGACAAUUUUACUACCACUUGGCAACCCGCUCGGGACCCCUCUCUGUGAUGGAGAGCUGUUCUUUUCUUUUGCCUAUUAAACUCCUGCUCCAAACUCACUGUGUGUGUGUCUGUCUGCAACCUCAAUCUCCUUGGCCAUGACACCAAAAACCUUAGUAUUUACCCCAGACAACAAGGCUGCUUCACCAGCCUUCUCACAUUAAAUUCCACACAUUGCAUGUCGGUGCUGUCACAGCUGUGUCUAUCACCACAGCAACAAGCAGACGGACUC